CUACAUAUUUAAACGUGUUGCUGGUAUAAAAUUUUCUCAUCUAUUUGCAAACAAGUUUGGCAAAUCACAGUACAAAGGUGCUUGAAAAAUUUCAACUCUGCAAGUUGGAAAAAAAAGGAGGGUUUCAAAAUACUGUGCUUUCACGCUUUGGCGUCUUUGUCUUUGUGUUUGAAAGAUUUCUGUACUAAAGUGCAGCAUACUGCAUCUGUUGAAAAAAUUGUUCAGCCUUCUGAUCGAAAAGGUAAAAAAACCUAUUAAUUUGUUGGAUAAUUCUGAUAACAUGGCUGAAAAAACGAUUGAUCCUCAAAAUUACAAUCUUAUGAACAAGGGCCAAGCAUUCUUCCAGAAAAGCAGAACUGGUAUGUUUUUUAAUUUAUAUAAAAAUAUAUUUCUGUUAUCGUGUAAAUUUAUAUUUAGUUUAUUGCAUAUCUUUCCUAAGUCCCGUUUUCUUUCUUUUCUUUCCUGUGUAUUUUUUUUGCAGGGGUUUUAAAAGAUUACUAGAUAUUUGUGCCCGCGCGUUACUGCGGGAUUGAAAAUUUCAUGAAAGAUUAUGCAACUUCAUUCUCUUCGUAAGCAAUGUUUGAGUUAAUUUUGUUCCACUUAAGCAGCAAUGAGAAAUUGUAGAAAUUGUAGAAAGGCAGAAUUAACGUAUGCCAAAUGUAUUUCAAUGGAACUAAUUAUAUAGAAUUGGGAAGUCAAAUAAAUCAUAUAUAGCCACAAAAUAGUAACAGGUACAGAUGAGAUUAAUCAACAUCUACCAAAUCAAAAGUAGAUGUGGAAAUUGAAAUAAUAAACCUUGUUUUCUGUUCAAAAAGUCAUGCAACAAUGGGAACAUGACUAACCAGAUAGAACUGUGAUUAACUCACUUCAUCCGUAAACAAAAGAAACCCAAACCAAGUUCAGCAAGAAUUAUGCACGACCUUUUUGAAAACUAUAUAAUGAAUUAUAACAAAUUGUUAAACAAACAUGGACCGGAGGUUAUCUUAAAAUUCAUUUAAAUGGAAAAUGGUAAAUUUGGUUCACUUGAGAUGCUAACCUUUCAAAAUGCGAUACUAAUAUAAGUUGCAUAUUAGGAUGAAAUGCAUUAACGCUUACACUUCAUAAAA